ensembl:lncRNA
AUACUGCUCGUUUCAGUUUACAUUCCCCCGAACAAUAACAACAGCAACAGGAACGAUGCACUAAAUGAACUGCACCAGCACAUCAGUAAGCAGCAGACAGCACACCCUGAUGCUUUUCUCAUCAUAGCUGGGGAUUUCAACCAUCCUGACUUAAAGAGUGUGUUUCCAAAAAUACACCAACACAUACACUUUCCAACAUGAGGUAAAAACAUUUUAGACUUUGUUUACACCGCACAGAGAGGAGCUUACAAAGCCCUCCCCCUCCCCCACCUCGGAGCCUCAGACCACAUCACUGUCAUGCUAAUGCCUGUAUACAGACCGCUCAUUAAAGUCGCCAAACCAGUUCAAAAACAGAUUCAAGUGUGGCUGGAAGGAUCGUCAGAGGCUCUUCAAGACUGCUUUGACACAACUGACUGGAAUAUGUUUAAGCAGGCUGCCACUUACAAUAACACCACUGACCUCCAGGAGUACUCAGAGACUAUCACUGCCUACAUCAACAAGUGUAUUGAUGAUGUAACAGUCACAAAAACCAUCACUGUCCGGGCUAACCAGAAGCUGUGGAUGACAGGGGAGGUCUACAGACUCCUGGAGAUGCGGAAUGGUGCAUUUAGAGCUGGAGAUGAUGUGGGCCUGAGAACAGCCAGGGCCAACCUAUCCCGCGGCAUCAGAGAGGCUAAGAGACAGCACUCCGGGUGGAUAGCCCAUCAAUUCAGCGACAGCAGAGACACUCGGAGCCUGGGGCAGGGGAUACAGACCAUUACGGACUACAAGCCCCCACCACGGACCUGUGACAGCUACAUCUCUCUGCUGAACAAGCUGAAUACCUUCUUCGCUCGCUUUGAGAAACAAAACAGCUCCACUGCACAGAAGACUCCACCUCCUCCCGGUGACCAGGUGAUGACGCUGACCCCGGACAGUGUGAGGAGAUCUUUCAGUAGGAUCAAUGCACGCAAAGCUCCGGGUCCUGACAACAUUCCUGGGAGUGUACUGAGAGACUGUGCAGCAGAACUCACUGAUGUCUUCACAGACAUUUUCAAAAUCUCACUUAGUCAGGCUGUUGUUCCCACAUGUUUCAAAACUACCACCAUCAUUCCAGUCCCGAAGAAGCCAUCUCCAUCCUGCUUCAAUGACUACCGUCAUGUUGCACUUACUCCCAUCCUCAUGAAGUGCUUUGAACGGCUAGUCAUAUACCACAUCAAGUCUGCCCUUCCCCCCCCUCCCUGGACCCAUUCCAGUUUGCAUAUCGGUCCAACCGGUCGACCGAUGAUGCCAUCGCCACUGCCCUCCCCUCAGCACUCACACAUCUAGACAAAAAGGACUCAUACGUCAGAAUGCUGUUCAUACACUUCAGUUCAGCAUUCAACACAAUCAUCCCUCAACAGCUCAUUCACAAACUGGUCGAGUUGGGGGUGUGCACAUCACAGAGGUACUCCCUCCCGACCUUGCCCCCCCUCCCCUCCCCUCUUUUUGCCCCAUGCACCACUGAACUCUGAACUAUUUCAG